GUGAGGUGCAGAAAGAAGUGUCCGAACAUGAAAUUUUCGUUCCGGAUACAAUAACUAAUAAAGAACCGGACAUACAUUCCUCAUUAGGAACUUCUGAAGAUUUAUCAAUUUCUACGCAUCCACAUAAUAAUGAACUGGAAUCAGAACCCGAAAUUUCGUGUACAAAUGAUUCUGAUGCGAAUAAUUCUGCAUCUUUCAAUACCGAAGAUAACCUGGAGCAAGUGAAACAAACUGAAACAACAGUGAACGUAACAGGAGACACCACAAUUGACGUAAUUUCGGAAGAUUUCGAUUUCGACGAAGUUUCUAUCGCUUUUCCAACAAAUUCCGAUCUCCAGAAUAUAUCUCCUGCAUGGAUAAAUGACGAGUUCUACGAAAGACCUCUGAAACGUGCUUUUAGAUAUUUAGAAGAAACUUCGUUAGUCAGAGAAGUAAUAUACGAG